AUUGAACGCUGGCGGCAGGCCUAACACAUGCAAGUCGAGCGCGCGGCGCACGGGUGAGUAUUGUAUGGGUAUCUUCAUGAUGGAGGGGGUUAACACCUGGAAACGGUAGUUAUUAUCGCAUACCAUCAGAUGUACUCAUAUGUGAUUUGCUCGUAGGUGAGGUAACGGCUUACCCAGGCGACGCUCCCUAGCUGGUCUGAGAGGAUGAUCAGCCACACUGGGACUGAGACACGGCCCAGACUCCUACGGGAGGCAGCAGUGGGGAAUAGUGCACAAUGGGCGCAAGCCUGAUGCAGCCAUGCCGCGUGUAUGAAGAAGGCCUUCGGGUUGUAAAGUACUUUCAGUCGGGAGGCGUUACCGACAGAAGAAGCACCGGCUAACUCCGUGCCAGCAGCCGCGGUAAUUC
rnacentral:rRNA from 1 species